AACCGAGUGUGAGUGAACAGGAGCCCGAGAGCUUAAAUGUGGGAUCUAGAUAAGGUGUCGACUGGGUUGUGGGCGUUUGUCUCCAUGUUAGGGAGAGGCAACUGAGAACGGUGACUUUGGCUUGUUUUGAGAGAGCCUGGGUUUUGACAGCAGGACGGCGAAGGGAGCGCUUGGAGAGGCUGGAAGCUCGACGUCUUAGGGAGCUGCCUGCGGGCACUGGGUUGACGCCAAGAGGUUGUCGGCAAGGGCAGGGCUCUUGCCCUCUGCUGUACCUAGGCUCUGCAACUGGGGGCUGCGAGCCUUCUGCGGCUCUUUGGUUUCAAGGACACAGCGAGCUGCUCAGGACUUUGGGAGCCAACAUCUGUCUGACUGGUGACGUCAGCAGCCCGUGUAAUCCUCUUGUGCUGAAGGCAGAUGCCUUAUUUGUUUGGCUGGAGCGAGCCAUUAAUCCCUAAUUCUGGAUCAGCAAGCGAGGGGGAAAGACCGGACCGCUCCGACCCACCCCCUCCCUACCCCCACCUCCCACCUUAAAGCACCUUAUACCACGGAAGGCUCUCAGCCUCUUCUUUCCUCUGCGAACGCGCUGAGCAGCGAUUGAAAACGUUUUGGUCCUCUGCAGGUUUGAACAGGGCUAGCAGGUCUCUCUCCGGAUUUCUAGGGCUAUGGGGGCGCAUUCUGGGGUCUCUGCGCAAGACCAGCUCUCAGCUCUCUCUCCUUUCCUCGGACUCUGGAGCGGGAGCGGGCCUUUCCCUCGGGUCGACCACGCCGUAGGGGACGCCGUGAAAAGAGCCGUCGCGCCCGCUGCCUCCUGCCCGCUGCGCAGAGGGCUCCGCCCGUAGAGGUCAACUUCCCUCACCCUUUUCUCUCUCCUGCUUGCCCUCCCUCCGCCCGGCCCAGGCGCUUCCAGCCCCAGACUGUGGCCACUGGCUGAGGAGUGCGAGUCGGCUGCGCUGCCCUGAGCCUAAUCCCUCUUCCGGGCCCAGACCCGAGGUCCGCGCUCCUGGGCAGUGGGGAAGCUUUAGUGAGCAGGCUUUUCUCUCCGCAGCAAACUUGUAGCCAGACCAGAUGGGCCGCCCAGCUCUCUCGGGACUAGGCAGGUGCGGAUGAGUUAAUUUUUCCGCAUUACAAAGAAAGAUGACCCAGCCCGCCCUUGGACUCUCUUUUCCCAAAAUCUCCCAACCAAACCCGCGGUAACGUUAUCAAAGGACACAGAGCCCAGGCAUAUCUGUGUGUUUAUCUUACAGGCACACACGCAUGGUUUUCUCUUUUAUAUGCUAGAUUUCAUCCCUGACAGCAGAAAAUGAUUGGCAAUGGUUAUGACGGAGAACAUGCAAUAGCGUGGUCCUUAAAAACCUGCCAUUCCUUACAAGUGCCUUAGAAAGGAUUCAGGGCGAACCAACUGGGUUAAUUGCAUUCAGUAAAAUAACACGAUUACAAAAUUAGAUCUGUA
rnacentral:lncRNA from 1 species